AGAGUUUGAUCCUGGCUCAGGAUGAACGCUAUCGGCAGGCUUAACACAUGCAAGUCGAGGGGUAGAAGUUUUCGGACUUCGAGACCGGCGCACGGGUGCGUAACGCGUAUGCAAUCUACCUUCUACAGAGGGAUAGCCCAGAGAAAUUUGGAUUAAUACCUCAUAGUAUUAUAGAAUGGCAUCAUUUUAUAAUUAAAGUUCCAACGGUAAAAGAUGAGCAUGCGUCCCAUUAGUUAGUUGGUAAGGUAACGGCUUACCAAGACGAUGAUGGGUAGGGGUCCUGAGAGGGAGAUCCCCCACACUGGUACUGAGACACGGACCAGACUCCUACGGGAGGCAGCAGUGAGGAAUAUUGGACAAUGGGCGCAAGCCUGAUCCAGCCAUGCCGCGUGCAGGAAGACGGUCCUAUGGAUUGUAAACUGCUUUUGUACGGGAAGAAAUACUCCGACGUGUCGGAGCUUGACGGUACCGUAAGAAUAAGGAUCGGCUAACUCCGUGCCAGCAGCCGCGGUAAUACGGAGGAUCCAAGCGUUAUCCGGAAUCAUUGGGUUUAAAGGGUCCGUAGGCGAUUUAGUAAGUCAGUGGUGAAAGCCCAUCGCUCAACGAUGGAACGGCCAUUGAUACUGCUAGACUUGAAUUACU
rnacentral:rRNA from 1 species